UUAUAUAAAUGCAUUCACUGUUUUUCAGUAAAACCGACUCCAUCCGCAGCAUCUCCCACCACAACUGGAAAUGAAACGACAACAACCACAGCUGUCCCCACAAUAACCACAGCUGUCAAAACCUACAACCACAGCUGCCAACACUACAACCACAGCUGUCCCCAACAACAGCCACAGCUGCAACAACUACAACAACAGCUGCCCCCACAACAACCACAGCCGCUUCAACUACAACGCCCUCGCCCCCAGUUGUUUUUUGACCUGGUAUUCAGAUCAGAUGAGGUUUUCAGUCCUGCUCUGACAAAUACCUCUUCACCUUUGUUCCAGAAUCGUGUAACGAAGACAAUUCAAGCGCUUGAGCCUCUGUUUAAGUCACAAUUCCCAAACUUCAUAAGACUGAUUGUGGUGGGUUUCAGGAAUGGUUCCAUCAUCACAGACACCCAGCUGGGUUUGCCGC